ACAAGGCAGUUUUUAUUACACUUACAGCUAUUUGAUAAUAUCGGUUCUGUUAGAGUAUUUUUAAAUUAAGCACAAUAAUAGGAUCCAUUGUUUUCACCCUGUGGUAAUUUGACUGCCACUGUUUCUAACACGAAACCAUUUACACAGGGCGACGUAGCUACAUCGGUUUGACGUGCCAAUCAAAAGCACAGCACCACACAUCCGCCGCAUUUCAUAUCUAAUCCACAAUUUAUCAAAUCAUUAAUUACAAAUGUGGGAAAUUACCGCCAGUCAAUAGCUAACUUCCUGUAGAGCUACCAGGAGUGAACUGAGGGCUAAGCCAUGUUUUAUGGCGCGUUAUUCGUAAACAAGGAAGGGCAAAAGGGCGCAUCCAAGAGAGGGAUAUGCCCUGCCGCCAGGGUUACACCGGUCAAUAAACAGCCAAUGCAGUUAACCCGGUUUGAUGUGCGAGGUCGCUAGCUACCAGUGAUUACCUUGAGGAUCGUGUUAACACAAAUUGGGAGAAAAUUAUAAGUAUAUGCGCAAAAGUAUUGUAGGGUUUAUUGUAUAUAUAUUAAGAAAGGUUUGUAGUAAUAAUAUUUUCCAUGCUCAUUUUUUUUAAAUAAAGACAUUAGGUGUUAA